UACGGGGGGGGGCAAGCGUUGUUCGGAAUUACUGGGCGUAAAGGCCAGUAGGCGGCCAACUAAGUCACACGUGAAAUCCCCAGGCUUAACCUGGGAACUGCGUGUGAUACUGGAUGGCUUGAAUUCGGGAGAGGGAUGCAGAAUUCCAGGUGCAGCGGUGAAAUGCGCAGAUAUCAAGAGGAACACCGGUGGCGAAGGCGGGUCUCUGGGCCGAUACUGACGCUGAGGAGCGAAAGCGUGGGGAGCGAACAGG
rnacentral:rRNA from 1 species